GACGAACGCUGGCGGCGUGCCUAAUACAUGCAAGUUGAGCGAUGAAGAUUGGUGCUUGCACCAAUUUGAAGAGCAGCGAACGGGUGAGUAACGCGUGGGGAAUCUGCCUUUGAGCGGGGGACAACAUUUGGAAACGAAUGCUAAUACCGCAUAACAACUUUAAACAUAAGUUUUAAGUUUGAAAGAUGCAAUUGCAUCACUCAAAGAUGAUCCCGCGUUGUAUUAGCUAGUUGGUGAGGUAAAGGCUCACCAAGGCGAUGAUACAUAGCCGACCUGAGAGGGUGAUCGGCCACAUUGGGACUGAGACACGGCCCAAACUCCUUCGGGAGGCAGCAGUAGGGAAUCUUCGGCAAUGGACGAAAGUCUGACCGAGCAACGCCGCGGGAGUGAAGAAGGUUUUCGGAUCGUAAAACUCUGUUGGUAGAGAAGAACGUUGGUGAGAGUGGAAAGCUCAUCAAGUGACGGUAACUACCCAGAAAGGGACGGCUAACUACGUG
rnacentral:rRNA from 1 species